CUGGCAAGGGGGAUACCCCUUGGAAUUAAACCAGGAGAAGGGGCAAGGGGUCGGCAGUGCCCGUGGGGGCCUCGACCGGAGCGCCCAAGGCUAGGACGCUCUCAGCCGGCGCGCCCUCUGCUGACGCGCACGUGGCUGGUGCGCCCUCGGCCGAUGCACCCUUGGUCGGCGCGCCCUAGUUCGCCACCAUGGCUAGGAUGCUCUUGGCCGGCGCGCCCUCGGCCGGUGCACCCUCGGCUGGCGCGGCCACAUCGACUACGGCAAUGGAUGGAUCUCCACGGCAACAGCGGCGACGGCGGGUGGCGUCCAUUGGCGGCGGCGGUUACAGGGCGCCGGCAGCUGUAG
rnacentral:misc_RNA from 1 species